CCUACGGGGGGCUGCAGUGAGGAAUAUUGGUCAAUGGGCGCAAGCCUGAACCAGCCAUGUCGCGUGCAGGACGACUGCCCUAUGGGUUGUAAACUGCUUUUGUAUGGGAAGAAACGACGGUACGCGUACUGUUUUGCCGGUACCAUACGAAUAAGGAUCGGCUAACUCCGUGCCAGCAGCCGCGGUAAUACGGAGGAUCCGAGCGUUAUCCGGAUUUAUUGGGUUUAAAGGGUGCGUAGGCGGGAGAUUAAGUCAGUGGUGAAAGUUUGCGGCUCAACCGUAAAAUUGCCAUUGAUACUGGUUUUCUUGAGUACAGUUGAGGUAGGCGGAAUGUGGUGUGUAGCGGUGAAAUGCAUAGAUAUACCACAGAACACCGAUUGCGAAGGCAGCUUACUAAGUUGUAACUGACGCUGAAGCACGAAAGCGUGGGGAUCAAACAGGAUUAGAUACCCCUGUAGUC
rnacentral:rRNA from 1 species